AUUCCUUCUCCAGGAGCGUAUAUUAAAGUUGAUGCAGUUAAAAAGCUCGUAGUCUGGGUUUUGUGGGUGGGGUGGUGUGGUGGCGUGAGCUGUCGCAUUGGCCUGUCUGCAGAAAUUUUUUAUUGGGGAUUUGGGGUGGGUGCGCUUGAUUGCGUGGUUGCCUCUGCCCUGUCUUUACUUUGAAAAAAUUAGAGUGUUCAAAGCAGGCAUUUGCCUUGAAUAGAUUAGCAUGGAAUAAUGGAACAGGACCUUGGGGCUGUUUCGUUGGUUUUUAGACCCGAGGUAAUGAGAAAUAGGGACAGUUGGGGGUAUUCGUAUUUAGUUGUCAGAGGUGAAAUUCUUGGAUUUACUACAGACGAACAUCUGCGAAAGCAUCUACCAAGGAUGUUUUCAUUG
rnacentral:rRNA from 1 species